GUUCCUACAAUGAAUAUGCUACAGCCAACAUACACCUUAGGGUUCUGAAUGGCUAGGAGACCGAGUUAUGGUGUAGUCAAACUAUAACACACUCAAGGUGAACUGUCAAUGUACCUCAGGUCAAAGAACUAGAUACACAGCUACAGCAUCAAGUUAGUCAUCAACGAGAAUGUAGACUUCUUUAUGACUGCUUGAGGUGGUCACGCUCAGUACUCUCAUUCUCAACGAAUAUCUAUACUCUCGCUCUGGUGUCUCCACACCGUUGACUCAAGACACAUCUACCCUUAGAAAGUGAUCAUACACCAACCUUCCA
rnacentral:lncRNA from 1 species